rnacentral:misc_RNA from 1 species
UACGAAGGGGGCUAGCGUUGUUCGGAUUUACUGGGCGUAAAGGGCACGUAGGCGGUCUAACAAGUUGGGGGUGAAAUCCCGGGGCUUAGCCCCGGAACUGCCUCCAAAACUGUUAGGCUAGAGAUCGAGAGAGGUGAGUGGAAUUCCUAGUGUAGAGGUGAAAUUCGUAGAUAUUAGGAGGAACACCAGUGGCGAAGGCGGCUCACUGGCUCGAAUCUGACGCUCAGGUGCGAAAGCGUGGGGAGCAAACAGG